rnacentral:siRNA from 1 species
UGUUGAACCAACAGUUGUGGCGCA